GGGUGACGUAACACGUGGAUAACCUACCUAUAAGACUGGGAUAACUUCGGGAAACCGGAGCUAAUACCGGAUAAUAUUUUGAACCGCAUGGUUCAAAAGUGAAAGACGGUCUUGCUGUCACUUAUAGAUGGAUCCGCGCUGCAUUAGCUAGUUGGUAAGGUAACGGCUUACCAAGGCAACGAUGCAUAGCCGACCUGAGAGGGUGAUCGGCCACACUGGAACUGAGACACGGUCCAG
rnacentral:rRNA from 1 species